CAAAGAUGGCGGAACUGUAUUGCUGUUCCGUUGUGGUUGAAAUGCAGAAAAAAGAGAUAAAGAAGAAAAAACGAAAGAUUUGGACUCGUAAACGUCAGGCGCUUGGAGCUUCCUCCAGUUUCCUUACAGAAGUGGCGGGUGAGGAUAAAGCCACAUUCAAAAACCAUCUGAGAAUAACUGCAGAACAGUUUGAGCAACUAUUGGAAAGUGUAAAACCAAAAAUUCAAAAAGUUGAUACAAAUAUGAGAGCUGCAUUACCUGCAAGAUUAAAACUACAAAUUACCCUUCGUUACUUGGCAAGUGGAUGUUGUUUUCGUACGCUAGAAUGUUUGUAUAGAGUUCCAAAAUCUUCAAUAUCCAAGUUUUUACCUGCAGUACUUGAAGCAAUUUAUGAAUCAUUGGAGAUGUAUAUUCAGAGACCUCGACAUAUAUGGCACUGAAAAGACACAUUCAUACGGAGUGUGUCGAGCGGCAAUAAAAAAUCAUUCGGCAAUCCAAAAGACCCAUUAAUAUUAGAAAAACAAAGAUCAAGAAAUGUGCGUUCCGGAUUUGGUAGCUGAAACAUUACUUUACCAUCUAAGUAAUUAAAUACAUGUCCAAGCAGUGAAGCUGGUGCGAUAUUCGAACACCCAUCCGAAAGUGCAGCCAGGUAAAUAAGCAAUUCGGAUGGGCCUCAAAGAUCUCCAGUACUGUAUCACAGAAAGCACUGUAUUGACCCAUAUCAGAUUUUGGCGGCAGGUAAACUACAGCAAAAACAAUAUUCUUAAGAUUAAGUUGUACAGAAAUAAAAACUUGCUCUAACGAUGAACAA